CUCUGCUGCAGCUGCAAUCUCCGUACCCAUGUUUCAAGGGGAUGUUGAAGUAAGCAUUGUGGGUACUCCUCAGAAGCACGGACACAGGAGGACAUUGACACGGUUGAUAGACAGGUUCUGUGGGUUUGUGCGAAGAAGUUGUCUUUGUUAGGGUUUUAUUGCUCUGAAAAGACACCAUGACCAUGGCAACUCUAAUAAGGUAAACCUUUAAUUGAGGGGGCUUACUUACAGCUUCACAGGUUCGGUCCAUUAUCAUCACUGGGGGGCGGAGCACGGCAGUGUGCGGUGGUGCUGGAUCUUGCAGGCAACAGGAAGUCAACUGACCCACUGGGUGGUAUAAUGAGCAUAGGAAGCCUCAAGGCCCUCUCCCACAGUGAUCGUACUUCCUCCAACAAGGACACAUCUAUUCCAAGUUGCCAAACCUACAGAGUAGAAGGAAUGCAUGCCUAUCACUAAAGGGGCUGAAGCAAGAAAAUUGUAAGUUUGGGGACAGCCUGGGCUACACAGUGAGAACAUACGUUGAAGAAAGAAGAAAAUAGAGUUCUUUGGAAGUCAGUCUACUACUAAAAAAUGAAAACGUUAAAUCUGGAGGAAAGAACACUCUUGAUGAAGCGGGGCUAGUGGAUGGAAGUUACAUCAUUGGGGGUGUACCCUUGAAGGGAAUGCUGAGAUCCAAGCUGUUUCCCAUCUUGUGCUUUCUGUCUGACAUGAGGUGAUGGGGCUUCUUCUGCCAUGAUGAUCAUUCUGGUCCAAAGCAGCAAGACCAAGAAAUCCUGAACUGAAACCUCUAAAACUGUGAAUCAAAGUAAACCUUCCUUCCUUUUACACUGACUACCUCAGGCAUUUUGUCUCAGCAGUAGGAGGUGAAGACAGGUCCUAAGAUGUCUUCACCGAAUGAAGAAUGGUGUUCAGUCUAGAAGGGUAGCUGGCUGCACAAGCAGCCCUGUUUUGUUUUCAUUUGUUCCCUGGGUGUGGGAAGCCGGCAGAACAAUUUUUGCUUUGGGAGUUUCCAUCUCCAUUUUUUAUUUCUCUGUUCAAUCAUCUGAUGUAUUGAAAAACCGCGCAGGAAAGCUAUAGCUGUAGACGCUUGGCCAGGAGAACAAACUCAUGGUAGCUGCAUUUCUUAUUUAGAAAUCUGAGUCCCAAACAAACAUAAAACAGCACAUAUCUAUGAGUUCCAUAACUCAGAUAGCAAAAAAAGUGGGUUUCAUCAAAGUACCUAAGAAUUUAUCAAUUGUCCAUAUAUCCAAGAAAAGUGAACACAUUUUGUCUACACUCAUGCUCCAGCCAACAGUCUUAUAAGAACUCGAAGCCUGGCUUCUGAGUUCCUCCUUCCCCACUGUCUUCCUCAGUCAGAACCAUUCUGUCUUCUUAAUAUCUGCCCAAAGAACAGUAUUUUAGCAGCAGGGUUUAUACAGAUAUCUUACACGAAGAGGAGAAAUUGCCCCAAUGUCUUCCCCAAUAAGGCAACAUGAUGGCAUGUCUUCCCUUAAAUCUGUUUGUGACUGACAGCCCAUGGUCUUCCCAGUCCCCCACCUCCACCCUCAGCCUUUCUUUUGCCAAGAGUUUGGUCCAAAUCACAAUCAAGACGCAGAGUUGAAGAGGUGACCUAUGGCCUAGAGAAGCAUGGAGUCAUUUGACUCUGUCCACAGGCCACUCACAUGGACAGAGAAACUGGGUCUGUCAGCUACAAGCCCCUGGAGGAUUCUCAGUCUCUGACUCUACGUGACCCCACGCGGCAGAAAGCAAGUCUCUGGUCACCCUAACCGGUUCAGCAA